AGAUGAGCCAGCUGAGGCCCCAAGAGGUUUGAUCAUGUUCAAGGUCACAGAGUUGGGACAAGUACAAAUACUUCAGUAUUAAAGUACUUAAGCAUCCUGGCUCCACAAAGGCAAAGGGCUCUUGAGAGAUUACAGGAAGUGCCAACCCCCCACUGUUCAAUGUGAAGGAGAC